AUACCGUAUACGUCCUUACGGAGAAAGAUUUAUCGCCGAAGGAUUAGCCCGCGUUCGAUUAGCUAGUUGGUGAGGUAACGGCUCACCAAGGCGACGAUCGAUAGCUGUUCUGAGAGGAAGAUCAGCCACACUGGGACUGAGACACGGCCCAGACUCCUACGGGAGGCAGCAGUUGGGAAUCUUGGACAAUGGGGGAAACCCUGAUCCAGCCAUGCCGCGUGAGUGAUGAAGGCCUUCGGGUUGUAAAGCUCUUUUACCCGGGAAGAUAAUGACUGUACCGGGAGAAUAAGCUCCGGCUAACUUCGUGCCAGCAGCCGCGGUAAUACGAAGGGGGCUAGCGUUGUUCGGAAUUACUGGGCGUAAAGCGUGCGCAGGCGGCUUCCCAAGUCAGUGGUGAAAGCCCGGAGCUCAACUCCGGAACUGCCAUUGAAACUGUGAAGCUCGAGGACGAGAGAGGUGAGUGGAAUUCCCAGUGUAGAGGUGAAAUUCGUAGAUAUUGGGAAGAACACCGGUGGCGAAGGCGGCUCAC
rnacentral:rRNA from 1 species